ensembl:ncRNA K06C4.19 ncRNA
UGCGGUGACUAGGCGGGCACAUAGAGAUAAGACAGAUGGGGGAAGUGGCAGAGUGACCAAGAAAAACUAUGCACUUUGUACAUUCGGCAUGAGAGACAGCAUAGAAAGGUGUCCCCACAGAAUGUCAAUAGGCUCCUCCUUCCCACCGAAAAAUUGUUAUAAAGGUAAUGGCCAACAACCCAUUCCUUACACUUGUCCAACGACCAGUCCAAUCA